UCGGGAAUUUGGGCAAUGGGCGAAAGCCUGACCCAGCAACGCCGCGUGAAGGAUGAAGUAUUUCGGUAUGUAAACUUCGAAAGAAUAGGAAGAAUAAAUGACGGUACUAUUUAUAAGGUCCGGCUAACUACGUGCCAGCAGCCGCGGUAAUACGUAGGGACCAAGCGUUGUUCGGAUUUACUGGGCGUAAAGGGUGCGUAGGCGGCAUAUCAAGUCACUUGUGAAAUCUCCGGGCUUAACUCGGAACUGCCAAGUGAUACUGAUGUGCUAGAGUGCAGAAAGGGCAACUGGAAUUCUUGGUGUAGCGGUGAAAUGCGUAGAUAUCAAGAGGAACACCUGAGGCGAAGGCGAGUUGCUAGGCUGACACUGACGCUGAGGUACGAAAGCUAGGGGAGCGAACGGGAUUAGAUACCCCUGUAGUCCCUGAGCGGGCUGGCAAGGCGCAU
rnacentral:rRNA from 1 species